UUGAACGCUGGCGGCAGGCCUAACACAUGCAAGUCGAGCGGAUGAAGGGAGCUUGCUCCUGGAUUCAGCGGCGGACGGGUGAGUAAUGCCUAGGAAUCUGCCUGGUAGUGGGGGAUAACGUCCGGAAACGGGCGCUAAUACCGCAUACGUCCUGAGGGAGAAAGUGGGGGAUCUUCGGACCUCACGCUAUCAGAUGAGCCUAGGUCGGAUUAGCUAGUUGGUGGGGUAAAGGCCUACCAAGGCGACGAUCCGUAACUGGUCUGAGAGGAUGAUCAGUCACACUGGAACUGAGACACGGUCCAGACCCCUACGGGAGGCAGCAGUGGGGAAUAUUGGACAAUGGGCGAAAGCCUGAUCCAGCCAUGCCGCGUGUGUGAAGAAGGUCUUCGGAUUGUAAAGCACUUUAAGUUGGGAGGAAGGGCAGUAAGUUAAUACCUUGCUGUUUUGACGUUACCAACAGAAUAAGCACCGGCUAACUUCGUG
rnacentral:rRNA from 1 species